rnacentral:rRNA from 1 species
GGGAAACCAUUAAGUUAUUGGGUUCUGGGGGGAGUAUGGUCGCAAGGCUGAAACUUAAAGGAAUUGAUGGAAAGACACCACCAGGAGUGGAGUUUGCGGCUUAAUUCGACUCAACGCGGGAAAACUCACCAGGACAGGACAGUGUCGAGAUUGACAGGUGAAAGAGUCCUUUCUCGAUUUACUGGUUGGUGGUGCAUGGUCGUUCUUAGUUCGUGGAGUGAUCUGUCUACUUAAUUGUGCCAACGAACGAGACCUUGACCUAUUAGUUAGCAAGGCAAUAACAGGUCUGUGAUGCCCA